CUUUAUCUUAUUGACCGAACGCAGACGGAGGUGAGAACUGAUAAGUUACGGUCGAAAUGGCUGCUACGAUCACUGGCGUCGGAAUUGGAUUAGGGCUAUCAUGUUCUUCUACUGGGAAUCUCUCCCAAAGAAAGAGAGGAAAUCCUUCAUGGAGAUCGUCUUGUUGUAGCGUGAAAAUGGUGCUCUCUGUGGAAGAGAUGAAGAAUUACACAAUCAAAAAAUCCGAAGAAGCUUUCAAUGUAGCCAAGGAGCUGAUGCCGGGAGGUGUAAAUUCACCGGUACGGGCUUUUAAAUCCGUUGGUGGACAACCUAUAGUGAUGGAUUCUGUGAAGGGCUCUCGCAUGUGGGACAUUGACGGCAAUGAGUACAUUGACUAUGUUGGUUCUUGGGGUCCAGCAAUAAUUGGUCAUGCGGAUGAUCAGGUUCUAUUUUUCUUCCCUUACUAUUAUUUUUUUGAUUUCCUGAUCAAUGAAUGCUGUACUUUGGUUACAAUCUUGGCACUGGAAGAUUAUGACUGAGCAGGACUGAAAUUUAAUUUUUUCAAGGAGAAACUUGUUUUCUACAUGGGGCUGGAGAGAACUUAAAUUUCUAAUUUGAGAGAAAUGGCCAAUUAGUAAAGAUAGGAUUUCACAUGUUGUUAGCCCUUUUCUUUUGUAAGAAAACGCAGCAAUUGAGUGAAGGAAUGAUCAUUAUUAUGCGUUUUACUCAAAUUUAUGAAAGGAGCUUUAUCAUGGCAAACAAACCGUUAUGCUAUUUCUUUUUUGUCAUGCACAUUGAUGUCUCUCACAUUGGCGGCGAAAUUUUUGAACACCCUUCAAAACUAUUUUCAAAUCGUCCAGACUAACAUUUAUCUACAGGUACUUGCAGCCUUGGCUGAAACGAUGAAGAAAGGUACCAGCUUUGGUGCCCCUUGUCUUCUAGAGAAUGUAUUAGCAGAGAUGGUGAUCAAAGCAGUUCCAAGCAUAGAAAUGGUACGAUUCGUCAAUUCAGGCACAGAGGCUUGCAUGGGUGUGCUUCGCCUAGCCCGUGCCUUCACUCGACGGGAGAAGCUUAUCAAGUUUGAGGGUUGUUACCAUGGCCAUGCUGAUCCUUUCCUUGUCAAGGCAGGAAGUGGUGUUGCUACAUUAGGUCUGCCAGACUCUCCUGGUGUCCCCAGAGCAGCAACCUAUGAAACUCUAACAGCCCCCUUCAAUGACUUGGCCGCAGUGGAAAAACUUUUUGAGGCAAAUAAAGGAGAGAUUGCAGCAAUAAUACUCGAACCUGUUGUUGGAAAUUCUGGUUUUAUUGCACCUAAACCAGAAUUCCUUGAUGCCAUCUGCAGGAUAACCAAAGAAAAUAAUGCACUUCUAAUAUUCGAUGAAGUUAUGACUGGAUUCCGUUUGUCAUACGGUGGAGCUCAGGAGUAUUUUGGCAUAACACCUGAUCUAACAACGCUGGGGAAGAUCAUUGGUGGGGGUCUACCAGUUGGUGCAUAUGGGGGAAGGAGGGAGAUUAUGGAGAUGGUUGCACCUGCAGGACCAAUGUAUCAGGCUGGGACUUUGAGUGGGAAUCCAUUGGCAAUGACUGCAGGGAUACACACCCUAAAGCGGUUGCAGGAACCAGGAAGUUAUGAAUACUUGGAUAAGAUCACAGGUGAACUUGUGCAAGGAAUUCUGGAUGCUGGCAAGAGGGCUGGGCAUGCUAUGUGUGGCGGGCAUAUCAGUGGGAUGUUUGGCUUUUUCUUCACAGAAGGACCCGUUUACAACUUCAGUGAUGCAAAGAAAAGUGACGCUGCAAAAUUUGCCAGGUUUUACCAAGGAAUGCUAGAGGAAGCUGUAUACUUGGCUCCUUCACAAUUUGAGGCUGGUUUUACAAGCUUGGCACAUA
rnacentral:misc_RNA from 1 species